rnacentral:rRNA from 1 species
AUUGAACGCUAGCGGCAGGCCUAACACAUGCAAGUCGAGCGGAGUGGCGAACGGGUGAGUAAUGAAUAGGAAUCUGCCUAGUAGUGGGGGAUAACUACGCGAAAGGGGAGCUAAUACCGCAUACUAUUGGAUCGGCCUAUGUCGGAUUAGCUAGUUGGUGGGGUAACGGCCUCCCAAGGCGACGAUCCGUAACUGGUCUUAGAGGAUGACCAGCCACACUGGAACUGAGACACGGUCCAGACUCCUACGGGAGGCAGCAGGGGGGAAUAUUGGACAAUGGGCGAAAGCCUGAUCCAGCCAUGCCGCGUGUGUGAAGAAGGUCUUCGGGUUGUAAAGCACUUUAAGCUGGGAGGCGUGACCAGCAGAAUAAGCACCGGCUAACUUCGUGCCAGCAGCCGCGGUAAUAC